AUGGUAUGAGAGUAGUGGACAGA
rnacentral:piRNA from 1 species